AACGCACCUUGCGCUCCUUGGUAUUCCGAGGAGCAUGCCUGUUUGAGUGUCUUGAAGUCAUCAACCCCUUCCGUUUCGUGCGGACUGGGUUGGAGCUGGGGGCCUGCCGCCGCAAGGCGGCUCCCCUCAAAUGCAUCGGUUGGGCCUGUGGGUCGAACUCGACUGGGCGUUGUAUCAUCCUCGCUCGACAGAGACGUUCCCCUCUCGUGCCCUUCCCCGACCUGCCUACGAGAGUGGCGGUCAAGCAAUUUUGAAAUCUGACCUCAAAUCAGGUAGGACUACCCGCUGAACUUAA
rnacentral:misc_RNA from 1 species